GCCGCGGUAGUUUAAAUAAAAACAUUAGCCUGUGGUGCUAAAAAUGGAACCAUUCUUCCCCGCAGCU
rnacentral:tRNA from 1 species